rnacentral:rRNA from 1 species
UGGGGAAUAUUGGGCAAUGGGCGAAAGCCUGACCCAGCAACGCCGCGUGGAGGAAGAAGGUUUUCGGAUCGUAAACUCCUGUCCUCAGGGAAGAGAAGGAGACGGUACCUGAGGAGGAAGCCCCGGCUAACUACGUGCCAGCAGCCGCGGUAAUACGUAGGGGGCAAGCGUUGUCCGGAAUGAUUGGGCGUAAAGGGCGCGUAGGCGGCUCGGGUAAGUCUGGAGUGAAAGUCCUGGGCUUCAAGUUGGGAGUUGCUUUGGAUACUGUCGGGCUUGAGUGCAGGAGAGGUUAGUGGAAUUCCCAGUGUAGCGGUGAAAUGCGUAGAGAUUGGGAGGAACACCAGUGGCGAAGGCGGCUUACUGGACGAUGACUGACGUUGAGGCUCGAAAG